rnacentral:misc_RNA from 1 species
UUUCCGUAGGUGAACCUGCGGAAGGAUCAUUAAUGAGUUGGCAUGGGGUUCGAUGCUGGCAGCCAGUUUUUGGAUGCAUGUGCUUGCCCUAACAAUCAUCUUCUUCCAAACACCUGUGCACAUUUUUGAGUGAGUCUUGAGUUGGUUGCCGCUCUUGUGUGAUUUUCUCACAUUCCCUUAACUCAUUAUACGCUAUUAACAAUGUUGAACGUGCUUUGUGCCGCAAGGCCAUUAAUAUAAUACAACUUUUAACAACGGAUCUCUUGGCUCUC